CAACGAUGAUUGCGGCGACUACAGUGACGAAAUAAACUGUAACUGCACUUCAGAGCAAUUCAAGUGCAAUAAUGGCGUCUGCAAAGAGCAAUGGUUAGUGUGUGAUGGCAACGACGACUGCGGCGACAACAGCGACGAGCUAAACUGCAGCUGCAGUUCGUGGCAGUUCGAGUGCAAGGCCGACGGGCGCUGCCUGCCUUCCGUCGUGGUGUGCGACGGUGAGGCAGACUGCGAGGAUCACAGCGAUGAACAAAACUGUACUGAUGAAUCCCUUGAAAACUUUCUUCAGAAACAAGUCUAG